rnacentral:rRNA from 1 species
AGAGUUUGAUCAUGGCUCAGAAUGAACGCUGGCGGCACGCUUAACACAUGCAAGUCGAACGGGAUCUUCGGAUCUAGUGGCAGACGGGUGAGUAACGCGUGGGAACCUGCCCAGUAGUAGAGAAUAACUUGAGGAAACUUAAGCUAAUACUUUAUACACCCUUCGGGGAAAAGCUUUAUGCGCUAUUGGAUGGGCCCGCGUUAGAUUAGUUUGUUGGUGAGGUAAUGGCUCACCAAGACUACGAUCUAUAGCUGGUCUGAGAGGAUGAUCAGCCACACUGGGACUGAGACACGGCCCAGACUCCUACGGGAGGCAGCAGUGGGGAAUAUUGGACAAUGGGGGCAACCCUGAUCCAGCGAUGCCGCGUGAGUGAUGAAGGCCUUCGGGUUGUAAAACUCUUUCGUCAGGGAAGAUAAUGACGGUACCUGAAGAAGAAGAUCCGGCUAACUCCGUGCCAGCAGCCGCGGUAAUAC